GCACAAUGGGCGCAAGCCUGAUGCAGCCAUGCCGCGUGUAUGAAGAAGGCCUUCGGGUUGUAAAGUACUUUCAGCAGUGAGGAAGGUGGAUAUGUUAAUAGCAUAUUCAUUUGACGUUAGCUGCAGAAGAAGCACCGGCUAACUCCGUGCCAGCAGCCGCGGUAAUACGGAGGGUGCGAGCGUUAAUCGGAAUUACUGGGCGUAAAGCGCAUGCAGGUGGUUUGUUAAGUCAGAUGUGAAAGCCCGGGGCUCAACCUCGGAAUUGCAUUUGAAACUGGCAAACUAGAGUACUGUAGAGGGGGUAGAAUUUCAGGUGUAGCGGUGAAAUGCGUAGAGAUCUGAAGGAAUACCGGUGGCGAAGGCGGCCCCCUGGACAGAUACUGACACUCAGAUGCGAAAGCCGUGGGGAGCAAACAGGAUUAGAUACCCUGGUAG
rnacentral:rRNA from 1 species